GUAACACGUAUCCAACCUGCCGAUGACUCGGGGAUAGCCUUUCGAAAGAAAGAUUAAUACCCGAUGGCAUAGUUCUUCCGCAUGGUGGAACUAUUAAAGAAUUUCGGUCAUCGAUGGGGAUGCGUUCCAUUAGGUUGUUGGCGGGGUAACGGCCCACCAAGCCUUCGAUGGAUAGAGGUUCUGAGAGGAAGGUCCCCCCACAUUGGAACUGAGACACGGUCCAAACUCCUACGGGAGGCAGCAUG
rnacentral:rRNA from 1 species